rnacentral:sRNA from 1 species
UGCUAUAAUGACCGUGUAGCAAACAAGCAAAGUUGGUGGCUAUCCUUCGAAAAAAUCAAAGGAGGUGAUGCUUAUGAAAAUAAGAGAUCACUCCCUUAAUUUAUGAAAGGGAAAGCCGUUGUUAACAUACAAAGAGGCGAUAGAACUUGCUUUAGCAUUCGGAUCAUUCAUCAUCUUGAUGUUUAGC